rnacentral:rRNA from 1 species
CCUACGGGUGGCAGCAGUGAGGAAUAUUGGUCAAUGGACGCAAGUCUGAACCAGCCAUGCCGCGUGCAGGAAGACGGCCCUAUGAGUUGUAAACUGCUUUUGUACGAGGGUAAACGCAGCUACGCGUAUCUGUCUGAAAGUAUCGUACGAAUAACGAUCGGCCAACUGCGUGCCAGCAGCCGCGGCAAUACGGAGGAUUCAAGCGUUAACCGGAUUUAUUGGGUUGAACGGGUGCGGAGGGGGUCGGAUAAGUUGGAGGGGAAAUGCCGAUGGUCAACUUAGGAAUUGCCUCUGAUACUGUUCGGCUUGAGAGUAGGUGCGGUAGGCGGAAUGUAUGGUGUAGCGGUGAAAUGCUUAGAGAUCA